UACGUAGGGGGCAAGCGUUGUCCGGAUUUAUUGGGCGUAAAGCGUGCGCAGGCGGCGCCGCAAGUCAGGCGUGAAAUCCCCGAGCUUAACUUGGGAAUGGCGCUUGAAACUACGGUGCUGGAGUGUGGCAGAGGGAGGUGGAAUUCCACGUGUAGCGGUGAAAUGCGUAGAGAUGUGGAGGAACACCGAUGGCGAAGGCAGCCUCCUGGGCCACCACUGACGCUCAUGCACGAAAGCGUGGGGAGCAAACAGG
rnacentral:rRNA from 1 species